GUCAUCGCGUACAAGCGAGUGAUGCGUUCUACAGGCUGGGCGAGACAUGCGUACUGAGUAAAGUCAGUCAGACUCAGUGCCAGCAGGCGCUUUCAAGAGCAGGGCGGUGUAGCGUUAUACUACCAUACCUCGUGAGAUUUCCCUACGGUAGAUGCUAUUUCCUAGGCAGCUAAAUGACCUCUGAUGAUGUCAUGCCCAUGUGACCAGACUCGAGUAGGCGGAGCCAGUCUGAAGUCUGCAAGAAGCACAGUUGAUUUCCCGGGCUUUUGAGUGGUUUGAUCUGGUGCAGGGUCUGGUCAUAUCAGAGGCAGACAACAAUAGGGGUUGACGCGCGUUACCAGAAAGAUAGCUGGUGGUGAUGUUUCCUGAGAACAUCGAGCCUUAGGGAAAGCGCUAAAGAAUGGAUAUUGUAUGAAAGGUUUCAGUUGGCUUCUUACAUUUGCUUUCUUGAAGAUUGAAUGGAUCAAGUCACCUCGUUCACAACAUCAUAUGCUUAUAUUCUGUAAUUUUUUUUUUUACCUUUGUUAUGCACUUGUCAUCUUAAUUUUUAUUUCGUUAUGCACAUGGAUUGAGCAUCUCUUUAACGACAUGUGACAUAAAUUUGCGUCAACAAGCCAAUAAGAAGAUAUGGAGCUGUUGCAGAUUAUGUGUAAGUAACCAUAGGAAGAAAACAAAAUGAUGUUCGGGUCCAAAAAACAAGCAAACUUUUAUUUCAUUCGGUUUAAAAAUCCUGACAAAUACAAGGCAAAUGGUCCACGCUAUAUCAUUAUUUAUUAUUAAAGCGCCAUUCAUUCCAUAGCGCUGUACAUAUGAGAAGGGGUAUACAUACAUAAUACAGACAAUUGCACUAAUCAUAAACAAGACGAGUUACAAACUGGUACAG